CACACUCUGUCUCUCUCUCUCAAAAAUAAAUAAAUAUUAAAAACAUCAUAAAAUAAAUUUUGAGGGAAAAUGGAGAUGGUUUGGGGCUGGGGGAUUUGGUUAUUUUGAGGUGCACGUAUUUGUAUAAAGUUGCGUAUUUUGGUUAAAUCUGAGUAGGAAUUAUAACCAUCAUUAAGCGAAUGUCUGCUAGAAUCUUGAUUUUCAAAUUAACUGGCGAGACAGGGUAAUUUAGGCUAAGGGAGGGUGGUCAGAUGGCCAAGUCCAAAGUCAGAGGGAGAGUGAAUGGAAGGCAAGGGCAGGCUGGCAGGUCGGGUUGGAAUUUGUGGGCUCACAGCAGACCAGUGGUUCCCAGGCUUGGGAGUGCAUCAGAAUCCGUUGGAGAGCUUGCUAAAAUACAGGUGGCUGGCCCCCCCACCCCAGAGUUUAGGGUUCAGUCGGUCUGGGGUGGGGCCCAAGAAUUUGCUUUUCGAACAGAUUUCCAGGGGCUGUUGACGUCGCUGGUCCGGGGACCACACUUUGAGAGCCGUUGCGAUACAGGGAGGGCAUGAGGAUACAAGCAAUCUUACUGGCCUUCCACUUAGUACAUUCGUCCACCACAAGCUCAAGCUGGGUUCAAGGGCAAACAAAAACGUUCUCCCAGUUGCCUCAGUAAAUUCCACAAUUUAAGGAAGGAAACUCCCCCGAAAAAGAGUGGGUUAAAAUCAUCCAGUUAAACCUUACACUACAAGGCAUUUUUGGACUUCGUAGCUGCAGUCACCUUGGGUAGCAGAGGCCAGAAGUUUCUUAGGGUCUUACUGAAGGCACCUCCCUGAGACACAGACAUGCCGUUAAUUCACGGUCUUGGCCAGAAUAUUUGAGAACAAAUAGCCCCAUAAUACAGCCUUGGAUGAAAAGAAAAAGGCAUGGAUGGCCUCUGAACGGCCAAGGAGCUGGUCAUGCCCAGGACAAAUAUUUUAGACAAAUCACAAAUCAGAGUGGAGAAACGAGGUGCUUUUAAAUAAGAGCACCCAACAAUGUUUGUUGACUUUAAUGGAGUCCAGGUGGGUCAGGAAGUGGGUGCAAGGGCGCAAAGUAUGCUGGGAACACAAUUUUAUUUAGAAAUUCCAGGAGACUGAAAAACAAACAGAAAAUAAUAAAAGAGCCCUCAAGAGACUCUUACGGUGUUCAGGCUCAUUCCCGUGUCUCAGCAGAAGAAUUUACGUUAUUCAGAAAGCUGACAGCUUGUAGGUUAAAAAUGUGUGUGUGUUUAUGUACGUGGGUGCACACAAUUUCUGCCAUAAAAUUAAGACAGCCACAACACAAACCAUAUGAAAAAAGGAAAGAGAAUAGAAAGAAAAGACUCUUUUCUUGUCUCUCUGACCUAAGUGCAAAUAGUAUUUCCUGCUAGUGGUUUUCCUUCUAUGUAUUUUUAAAUAGUGUGUGUAGAUUUAAAUACAUUUUUUUUAAAAGCUUAUAUCACCAUAGUGACUAAGAGCACUGUUCCUGGAGUCAGAUAGCCUUGGUUUCAAAUCCUGACUGCAGACAUUUCCUGCCCUGAGUUUUGUAUUUGUUGGGUGGGGGAAGACAAACUCAGUUCAGGGCAUUGCUGUGGGCAUUCAGUGGAAGGGUUCACAUCCAGUGGUCCCCAUAGGCCCAGGCCCAGUGCAAGCACUCGAGACCUAUUGGCAUAAUUUUCUGUUCUCGCUAAAAUGCUGUGUUCACCUCCCCCAGUCCCAAUCAUCGGGACGUUGUUCUCAACAUCUAGAAGUAUGCCUAUUUGUGUUUCGUGAGCCUGGCAAAAUUUCAUUCCAUAAAUGCUUCCGUGGUUCAGACACCGCUUUGAAGAAGCUCUUUUUUGCCCGGCCUGUUGAGAGCCCUCAUGACUUGGGUUUUCCUCGGAAAUUAGACUCCUCAAAGCCAAAACACACAGACGAUUGUUGGGCUUGGAGAAUUUGGUUCAUUUACUCUUUAGUAAGGCUGCGUGGCUUUCCUCCAAGACCGCAGGUUCUGUGACCGCCAUUGCGGGCAGCACUGAUGGCCAUCUACGUGAUGGGUUGCUAGGGAGGCAGGUGAGAAACCAUGGGCGGAGAGAUGUUGCUCUCUUCCCACUGCUGGAAGGACAACCAUAAACUCAACGUUGGCCAAGUUUACACCUGCAACCUGGACCUCUCAUUUCUGCUCCAGGCCUGUUUAUGCCUAAACCAAAUCUUCAGGCUAACAGAAGGUAACCACGCUGUCCUGAGCUGUAGAGUUGCCCUGUAAAUGAAGGGCUUAAUUUUGUUAGAUAGCAGCUCCCAGCCACAAAGAGAAGAAAAGAGCUCCUCAGUGAAGACUCAUGGGAUAAUUACACAUACAAUAAGCAAAACAGCUCCUUGAAUUUGAUGAAACCAUGUUGUACCUCCCCUUAUGUUGCUAGUUAAAGUGUUGAUUGCUAAAACACUGUGAAAACAAAUACACAAACCCUUUGACGUAGGAAUUCCACUUCCAGGGCUUUAUUCCACAGAUAUAUUUAUAAAUGUGUGAGUUAGCACGUGUGAAAUUUACUGAACAUUAUUUGUGCUGGCAAAAAGUUGGAAACAACAUGGGAGGGUAAACUGGUGAAGCCACUCUGGGAAACAGUGCGGAGAUUUUUCAAAAAAAAAAAA